AGAGUUUGAUCCUGGCUCAGGACGAACGCUGGCGGCGUGCUUAACACAUGCAAGUCGAACGGAAUCCAUGGUGUAGCAAUACAUCGGAAGAUUUAGUGGCGAACGGGUGAGGAUCACGUGAGAAACGUGCCCCAGACUCUGGGAUAACAAUUGGAAACGAUUGCUAAUACCGGAUGACGUCGGAGAAUCGCAUGAUUCACUGACGAAAGAUAUUUCGGUUUGGGAGCGUCUCGCGGCCUAUCAGCUUGUUGGUGGGGUAAUGGCCUACCAAGGCAACGACGGGUAGCUGGUCUGAGAGGAUGAUCAGCCACACUGGGACUGAGACACGGCCCAGACUCCUACGGGAGGCAGCAGUGGGGAAUCUUGCGCAAUGGGCGAAAGCCUGACGCAGCAACGCCGCGUGCGGGAUGAAGGCCUUCGGGCUGUAAACCGCUCUCAGCAGGAACGAAAAUGACGGUACCUGCAGAAGAAGGAGCGGCCAACUACGUGCCAGCAGCCGCGGUGACACGUAGGCUCCAAGCGUUGUCCGGAUUUAUUGGGCGUAAAGAGCUCGUAGGCGGUUGAGUAAGUCGGGUGUGAAAACUCUGGGCUUAACCCGGAGACGCCAUCCGAUACUGCUCUGACUAGAGUUCAGGAGGGGAGUGGGGAAUUCCUAGUGUAGCGGUGAAAUGCGCAGAUAUUANNANGAACACCGGUGGCGANNNCGCCACUCUGGACUGAAACUGACGCUG
rnacentral:rRNA from 1 species